UACGUUAACGAACGAGACCUUAACCUGCUAACUAGUUGCGAGUACGUGAGUAUUCGAGACUUCUUAGAGGGACUGACUAUGCUUAAUAGUCGGAAGUUUGAGGCAAUAACAGGUCUGUGAUGCCCUUAGAUGUUCUGGGCUGCACGCGCGCUACACUGACAAAGUCAGCGAGUACUACCUUGGCCGAGAGGUCUGGGAAAUCUUGUGAAACUUUGUCGUGCUGGGGAUAGAUCAUUGCAAUUAUUGGUCUUGAACGAGGAAUUCCUAGUAAGCGCAAGUCAUCAGCUUGCGUUGAUUACGUCCCUGCCCUUUGUACACACCGCCCGUCGCUAAUACCGAUUGAAUGGCUCG
rnacentral:rRNA from 1 species